AUUGAACGCUGGCGGAAUGCUUUACACAUGCAAGUCGAACGGCAGCACGGACUUCGGUCUGGUGGCGAGUGGCGAACGGGUGAGUAAUGUAUCGGAACGUGCCCAGUCGUGGGGGAUAACGUAGUGAAAAUUACGCUAAUACCGCAUACGAUCUAUGGAUGAAAGCGGGGGAUCGCAAGACACUGCGCGAUUGGAGCGGCCGAUAUCAGAUUAGGUAGUUGGUGGGGUAAAGGCCCACCAAGCCAACGAUCUGUAGCUGGUCUGAGAGGACGACCAGCCACACUGGAACUGAGACACGGUCCAGACUCCUACGGGAGGCAGCAGUGGGGAAUUUUGGACAAUGGGCGAAAGCCUGAUCCAGCCAUUCCGCGUGCAGGAUGAAGGCCCUCGGGUUGUAAACUGCUUUUGUACAGAACGAAAAGGUUUCUACUAAUACUAGGAGCUCAUGACGGUACUGUAAGAAUAAGCACCGGCUAACUACGUGCCAGCAGCCGCCGUAA
rnacentral:rRNA from 1 species